AUUGAACGCUGGCGGAAUGCUUUACACAUGCAAGUCGAACGGUAACAGGUUAAGCUGACGAGUGGCGAACGGGUGAGUAAUACAUCGGAACGUGCCCAGUCGUGGGGGAUAACGUAGAGAAAUUUACGCUAAUACCGCAUACGAUCUAAGGAUGAAAGCGGGGGACCGUAAGGCCUCGCGCGAUUGGAGCGGCCGAUGUCAGAUUAGGUAGUUGGUGGGGUAAAGGCCUACCAAGCCGACGAUCUGUAGCUGGUCUGAGAGGACGACCAGCCACACUGGGACGAAGACCCGGCCCAGACUCCUACGGGAGGCAGCAGUGGGGAAUUUUGGACAAUGGCGCAAGCCUGAUCCAGCCAUUCCGCGUGCAGGAUGAAGGCCCUCGGGUUGUAAACUGCUUUUGUACAGAACGAAAAGGUCUGGGUUAAUGCCCUGGGCUCAUGACGGUACUGUAAGAAUAAGCACCGGCUAACUACGUGCCAGCCGCCGCAGUAA
rnacentral:rRNA from 1 species